GAGGGCCCGCACAAGCGGCCGGACCAUGUGGUUUAAUCGGAUGCAACGUGAAGAACCUUACCUACUCUUGACAUUUACAGAAGCCAGCGGAGACGCAGGUGUGCCUUCGGGAACUGUAAGACAGGUGCUGCAUGGCUGUCGUCAGCUCGUGUUGUGAAAUGUUGGGUUAAGUCCCGCAACGAGCGCAACCCUUAUCCUUGUUUGCCAGCACUUCGGGUGGGAACUCCAGGGAGACUGCCGGUGAUAAGCCGGAGGAAGGUGGGGACGACGUCAAGUCAUCAUGGCCCUUACGAGUAGGGCUACACACGUGCUACAAUGGCGCAUACAGAGGGCGGCCAACUUGCGAAAGUGAGCGAAUCCCAAAAAGUGCGUCGUAGUCCGGAUUGGAGUCUGCAACUCGACUCCAUGAAGUCGGAAUCGCUAGUAAUCGUGGAUCAGAAUGCCACGGUGAAUACGUUCCCGGGCCUUGUACACACCGCCCGUCACACCAUGGGAGUGGGCUGCAAAAGAAGUGGGUAGUUUAACCUUCGGGAGGACGCUCACCACUUUGUGGUUCAUGACUGGGGUGAAGUCGUAACAAGGUAACCG
rnacentral:rRNA from 1 species